rnacentral:piRNA from 1 species
UCUGAAAUAGUUCUUGUUCUUUAAAAAGA